rnacentral:rRNA from 1 species
AGAUUGAACGCUGGCGGCAGGCCUAACACAUGCAAGUCGAGCGGCAGCACGGGUACUUGUACCUGGUGGCGAGCGGCGGACGGGUGAGUAAUGCCUAGGAAUCUGCCUGGUAGUGGGGGAUAACGGCUCGGAAACGGACGCUAAUACCGCAUACGUCCUACGGGAGAAAGCAGGGGACCUUCGGGCCUUGCGCUAUCAGAUGAGCCUAGGUCGGAUUAGCUAGUUGGUGAGGUAAUGGCUCACCAAGGCGACGAUCCGUAACUGGUCUGAGAGGAUGAUCAGUCACACUGGAACUGAGACACGGUCCAGACUCCUACGGGAGGCAGCAGUGGGGAAUAGUUGGAACAAGUGGGCGAAAAGCCUGGAUCCAGCCAAUGCCGCGUGCGUGAAGAAGUCUUCGAUUGUAAAGCACUUUAAGUGGGAGGUAAGGCAAGUUACCUAAUACGUAUCUUGUUUGACGUUACCGACAGAAUAAGCUACCGGACUAACUC